UUAUCCUACGGGAGGCAGCAGUGGGGAAUAUUGCACAAUGGGGGGAACCCUGAUGCAGCAAUGCCGCGUGGGUGAAGAAGCACUCCGGUGCGUAAAGCCCUGUCAGCAGGGAAGAAAAUGACAGUACCUGACCAAGAAGCCCCGGCUAACUACGUGCCAGCAGCCGCGGUAAUACGUAGGGGGCAAGCGUUAUCCGGAUUUACUGGGUGUAAAGGGAGCGUAGACGGCGAUGCAAGUCUGAAGUGAAAGCCCGGGGCUCAACCCCGGGA
rnacentral:rRNA from 1 species